CACAAGGCGAGACCGAAAGAGCGACCGAGAACGAAGAGUGCGAAGAGGAGAGAGAAAAGCGGGGAGAGAGAGAAGAACAGGCGAGCGAAGGAUUAGCAGCGAUCGAAGGAUGCAAUCUACUUCAGCAUAGCAACCCAUCUCGAAUCCCUGCUCCUCCCUACUCUUACACCCAAUGCACUGAAUUUGCGCAAACCCACGCCGACCAGAUUGAUUAUCAUUCCCCCAUUGAAGCUGUGUUGAAGAAGAACAAGAGGACCGAGGAGGAGGAGGAGGAGGAGGAGGGAGGGGAGGAAGGAUUCGAAGAAGAAGGAGGAGGAGUAGAUUCCACUCUACUUCCGGCGAACUUCUGCGCCAAUUCUUGCGACCCCCCAAUUCAGUUGAGGAAGGUGCCCCGGUUUGGCAAUUCAAAAAAGUUAGGGUUUUGGAUAGAAUUGGGACUUCAAUUUAGGGUUUUUCAGCUUGCUUCGUGGUCAAUUUGGAUUCUAGGGUUUCCGGUUUGGUGUUGAAGAUGAGAUUCAGAUUUGGGUGGGGUGGUCUCUGCAGGAGGGGUUUUCUCUUUACAAGCAGAGAAAAUUGAAUUUGGCUCUUGACAUGGAUGAGUUGAAGAUUUCUGAGGGUGUUUCACAGUAUGCGACGUUUAGCAAUUUGGAUUUGAAUGGUGUACUGGAGGUUCAGUUUUGGUCAGUUUGGAUGUGAGAAUAACAGUGGCUAGAAGCUGAAGUUGGAGCUCUGGGGUUGGGUGAUUUGGAGUUCUGUGCUUGGUGCAUGAAUCUGCUUCUCAAGAGAUGCAGCCGCAGCAGCAGAGCUCGAGAAUUGAUUUGGGUGACUUGAAAGCUCAGAUUGUGAAGAGGAUAGGUGCUGAGAAGUCGAAACGGUACUUCUAUUAUUUGAAUCGGUUUUUGAGCCAGAAGCUCUCUAAGAGUGAAUUCGACAAGCUAUGUUGCCGAGCACUCGGGAGGGACAAUCUCCCGCUUCACAAUCAACUUAUCCGCUCGAUAUUGAGGAACGCUUGCCUUGCAAAAGCCCCACCGCCGAUUCACGAAGCUGGUCCUACAAAGUCUACUUUAACAGCUGCUAAAGGUUCACCUACGUCAGAGGAUGGGCAUGAGCAGGGUGGAUCUCUCCUCCAGAACCAGAAUAAUAAUUCUUCCAUUUGGUCCAACGGAGUUAUUCCCACGUCUCCGCGAAAGGGGAGGUCUGCAAUUCGUGACAGGAAGCUCAAGGAUCGGGCAAGUCCGUUGGGGCCCAAUGGGAAGGUGGAGAGCUUGUAUCAGUCGAUAGGGACAGAAGACGGUGGAAGCAAGAUCGUCAUGAAAAAUGGUGUUUUGACGCCACGAGAUUACUCGAGGUCCCUGCAACAUCUUCACACGGUCCCUGAGCUACCUGAGAAGGAAAGAGAGGGUUUAAUCCCUCAAUCUUUAGACAGACCAACAGUGGGUAGCAAAAACGAGGCAGGAUUAGCUUAUGUGGAAGAUGGGGAAGAAGUGGAGCAGUACAGACAUUUAAGAUCUUCUAGAACUCCUUUGCUUGCACCACUUGGGGUUCCCUUUGGUAGUCGCAAAUUUUCUUCUGUGGGGACAAGUGGUGAUGUUGUGAGCUGUCAGGAUUUUGGUGGAUUGUUCGAUGUGGAAACACUGAGGAGACGAAUGCAGCAUAUUGUAGCAGCUCAGGGCCUUGGAGGAGUCUCGAUGGAAUGCGCUAACGUAUUAAAUAUUAUUUUGGAUGUGUACUUGAAGCGGCUCAUUAGCUCCUGUGUCCAGGUAGCAGGGGCCAAAUCUGUGCAUGAGCCACAGAGGAGUGUUGCCCCUAGGCAGCAGAUUCCUGGGAGAGUCCUUAAUGGGAUGUGGCCGACUAAUAGCAGUCACUUGAAUUUGCAGAGUAGUGGUGGGACCCUUGAUGGAAUGGAGGAGAGGAGACCUCACUCUAUAUCUCUACUCGAUUUUAAGGUUGCCAUGGAAUUGAAUCCGCAGCAGCUUGGGGAAGCUUGGCCCUUGCUGCUCGAGUUUAUCUCAUUGAGUUGAUUUACAGAAGCAGAAUUAUCCCAUGCUCUUGUUCCCAUGAAAGAUCUGUCCAUUCUGGUUCAAAGGUCUGGACACGCUACUGGGGCCAGUUGUAAUUUGAUUACUCUACUGCUGCCUUGAUAAGUCUGGCAGAUCCUGCCCUGGUGGAAUGAUGGGAUGCUUCACUCGGAGAAAUCAAGUGCAGGCCUGCCUGCUGGGCAUGGACAGUUCGGGGAACUAUUGAAGAGUGACAGAGCAUCAUUGGGUACUUUCAAUUCUUACGGUGACCAAAAAAAUUUGGUACUUCCAGUUACACCCCAUGAUUGGCUGCUCUGUUGCAUGUUGUGCAUUGAUGGCAGUCGUCCUGUCAUCAAACAUGCAAGCUCGUGUGUAUGAUGAUGAAAUUCUGAAGAAGUUUUGCAGGGAUACUUUCAUGUAGCUUGGUCAAAGCAGAAUAAUUCUGCCAGUUAAAACACUAUGAAUUGGUCUCUUGGGUUUCGGCUCCAUCUGUAAGGUCCUCUUGCCUUGCCUUCAAUUGUCAGACGAAGAAGCUGAGAACAUGGAUGUCAAGCUAAGAUAUAAUGUCUUAAAGUUUCUUUAAGUUUUUUGUCAAUUUUCAAGUGAACUAAUUUAAAUAUUGUUUGGUGAAUAAACAUCCAUUAUUCUCUUUAUCAUCUAACUUGGAAGGUUUCGUCUUUCAGGGGAAGAAGAAGAAGAUAUCAACUUCUUCUUUUCCCAGUGACAGAAUAUUGUUCAUUCAUGACAGUGCUCCAACUGUCAAUUCGCUUCUUUGAUUGCCCUCAAAGUACAGCUUCUGCUCUAGUACGGUCUUAAUACUUACUAUUGAGUCUUUAUUCAGCUUGUAAAGUGUACCGUGCCUGCAUAUAAAUUACGGCUAAGGCAGUGUUUUACUAACUGCUCUCAAUUUUAAACGCAAUCACUGAAAAGUUGCUCUAAGUGUUUCGUGUGAUUUGGACAUUUUCUUUUAAGGUGAUUUGGACUUUUUUUUUUAAUGAAUAGAUUUGGACAUUAUUCUUUUUGAGUAUAUACCAUCUCCUCAAUGAAAGUUGAAUUCGCCUUUUCUUCCUGUUGGUGAAUCUUUCCUUCCUGUUGGUGAAUUGUUUUGCCGCAUUGAUGGCGAUGCUGCUAAUACCUCUGGCAUUAGUAUUGACUUUUCAUCAAAUGAGUUCCCUUGAAAUUCUCAGAGUAUCUGUCACAGAUUAUGCUAUUUACCUAUAGGACGUUGCCCAAUAAUAAGCUUCAGGAUGAAGAAUGUGAUUUUGAGCAAGUUUAUUGACCAGCAGACAAAAGGAUUUGUUUUUGAUAGAUUGACAAAAGGGUUUGUCCUAGAUCUACUCUGUAUUCUAUUGCUUUAUUCAUGUAACCUACCUCUCUCUUUCUCUCUUUCUUUUUCUCCCCCUGCUAUGUGAUCACCUGAGCUGACCAUACGUAAUAAAUAUUUACUGGUUUCCAAGGAAAGUUAUUCUUCUCAUUGAGAGUCUUGAGUCAUUUGUUCAUAUUUUUCUGAUUGAGCUCCAAUUUUGGUUCCUCUUUGUUAAUCCCAUGAACAAUUGCUCUAGGUAGCCCAUGAUUGCUCAAUUAACAGAAGGGAUUUUGAUAAUAAUUGUCCUGCACAGCUCUUGAGUAGUACCUGUUUGUCACACUUUGUGGGAUGUAACCAAAUGGAGCAAAAAGCCGUGGCCAUAUCUACAGCCUGAAUUCUUGGAUUUCUGGUCUUAUUAUUGUGCUGCAAUAUGAAUAUCAGCUUAUUUCCUUAAUAAUGAGAAGUGCAGAAUCUUAGGCUUUCUAUACAAGCUACUGAAUUUAUGCUUUAUACAGUCAUUUCCCAUCAGGGCUACUUCUGGCUUAAUGUAGAAUAGUGUUUAAACAUUCAUUCUGUGAGUUUUAAGCACCUGCGGUUGGGACCAGCAAUAUAUUUUGGCUAUGUGGUGACUUCUUAUGCUACUCUAUUGCUUUCAGCUAGGGAUAACUGUAUUCCACAACUAUUAUGCACACCGUACUUCGCAGGUAUGAAGAUAUGCUCAACCUCUAGGCUUGCUUUGAAGAAACAACAGAAACAAUUAUUCCUGGGAGGAGAGUGGGUUAGCAGUCAUGCAGUUUCAUUUAUAUUGUAUCUGCUUCCGCUCUUAAUUUCUAGAUUUCCUAAUUAUAUUUGCUUGCUCACUGUCCUCGCUUCAGCAUUAGUUGUUGAUUGCACACUGCGUAUACUUGUUUUAAUUUCUUAUUGUGAAUAUGCAUGUCUGUGAACUUUCUUUGAUAUCAUGUUGCUGGGUCUCUUAAAUAUCUCCCUUUCGAUACUUCCAUUGAGUUUGCUCCAUGAAUUGUGGGAUAGUACCUUCAUCAAAACAGAAAGUAUAUCUAACUGUUGCAGCUCUUGUGAAGGAAAGGUUGUUAUACCGAUGUCAGAGUUCUCGUGAAGCAGAGGUCCAGAGGAGAUAUUAUUUGCUUUCUUCUUCGGUUUUAGCAUUGUAGUCAAGCAGGAUAAAACUGAGUUUCUUAUUAGCCCCCGUCUAAUUUGAAUCCCGCCGUUAUUCCUGUCAUGGUCCCAUGCAGUGGAAGGCAGUACACCUGCAAAGUAUAAUUGCUCUCUUUCACAUGAAUCGGUUCGAAUAUUGUAUAAUAGUGCACACAGCACGUCCACACUGACAGUUCCAAACUUGAUGGUCCUAUGUAUUAAAAAGUUAUCUCAUUUCCCAUGUAUAAUGGUUCAUUUUCAUUCAAGCAUGACUUGAUAAAAGCUGCACAAGGUGUCUGCGAAAUCCAAGCAUAGGCUUGCAAAAUAUGAGCACGGUGGUUGAAGAAUGAAGAGAUGCCUCGAGGUUAGGAUCAGUGCAUGUUUGUUCUUUCAACUUUGUUGCAGGAACUUAAAUGGGAUGCUACAUCGAUCCAUCAGUGCGCAUGCAGCUGUUCGCCUAAUUUCUUUCCCAGGAGGGGUGGAGUGUUGGAGGGGAGAAUGCAGCUGAGUCUCUUCGUGGAAUCUCUCAUUUUUUUGGUUCUUCCAGGGGUCGAAGUCUCUCUUUUGCUUUUGAGGCACAGUAGUCUUAAAACAAGGAACUCGGUUCAGUGCUAUAAACUUGAUGUCCUUGUAGUUGCUCAUGAUUCAAAUGAGAUGUGCAGGUCAUGGUCAGGAUGUUCUUAAUCUGUUGCAGGAUAUCACCGAUCACUUUCCUUUC